UACGUAGGGGGCAAGCGUUGUCCGGAUUUAUUGGGCGUAAAGAGCGUGUAGGCGGCCUGGUAGGUCAGCUGUGAAAACUCGAGGCUCAACCUCGAGACGCCGGUUGAAACCAUCAGGCUAGAGUCCGGAAGAGGAGAGUGGAAUUCCCGGUGUAGCGGUGAAAUGCGCAGAUAUCGGGAAGAACACCCGUGGCUAAGGCGGCUCUCUAGUACGGUACUGACGCUGAGACGACGAAAGCGUGGGGAGCGAACAGG
rnacentral:rRNA from 1 species